GAUGAACGCUGGCGGUAUGCUUAACACAUGCAAGUCGAACGGACUCUUCGGAGUUAGUGGCGGACGGGUGAGUAACGCGUGAGAAUCUGGCCUUGGGUUCGGGACAACCACUGGAAACGGUGGCUAAUACCGGAUGUUCUGUGAGGUAAAAGAGAAAUUGGCUGAAGAUGAGCCCGCGUCUGAUUAGCCAGUUGGUGAGGUAAAGGCUCACCAAGGCAGCGAUCAGUAGCUGGUGUGAGAGGAGGACCAGCCACAACAGGACUGAGACGCCGCCCAGCCCACUCCGGGGGGAAGCAGUAGGGGAGUAUCCGGGAUGGGCGAAAGAAUGACGGAGCAGUACCGCGUGGGGAAAGAAGGAGCUUGGGGUGUAAAACUGUUUUCUUAAGGAAGAACAAAAUGACGGUACCUAAAGAAUCAGCAUCGGCUAACUCCGUG
rnacentral:rRNA from 1 species